rnacentral:lncRNA from 1 species
CUGGACGUCAAGACAAACACAUUGGCAGAGGAACACACAAGCACCUGGAUGUGGAGAGGGUGUCGAGAGCACGCUGACAGGUACCGGCAAGCCUGCAGGCCAUCGACCGACCGGCCGAACGACUUGGAGUUUGGUCAGGGCGGUUGGAGGAGAGCCGGGGCUGCUGAGCGGCAGGAAUCCAGGGGAAAACCUUUCCACUCCAUCCCUCAUCUGCUGAAAACUACCUCCACUCAAUAAAACCUUGCACUCAUUCUCUAAGCCCAGGUGUAAUCUGAUUCUUCCAAUACACCAAGGCAAGAACCCGGGAUACAGAAAGCCCUCUGUCCUUACGACAAAGAAGAGGAUCUAAUUGAGCUGGUUAACAUAAGCCGCUUAUAGGCAGCAAAACUAAAAGAGCACAGGGCGCACGCCCACUGGGGCUUCAGGAGCUGUAAACAUCUACCUCUAGAUGCUGCCGUGGGGUUGGAGGCCCAAGCUUGUCCAUCUGUAUGCUCCCCUAGAGGUUUGAAGAAGCGAGCCACUCUCCCUGUUGAACGCCCUGCAAAGAGACCAGGGGAACUUUUCCCGUUUCAAUUCCGUAUCAGUACAUUUUGAACUUCCUUAUUUUUUCAUAUAUUCUGUAAAAUUCCUUUGUAUAAAUGGAUACUUAAUGACUAUUUUUCAAAUAGCCAGAAAACUAGCUCAUUUUGCUAGAUAUCUAAUUGUGUUUAUAAAAUAACAAAUGCUUCAAUGUGUAGUAAUUUUCCUGUUGUAAUUCUCACAAGAGCAAGUAUAUCUGUAGAAUCAAGGCCUAGAAGAGAAACUCUGGAUCCAAAGAAUAAAUACACUAGUAAUUUUGGUAACAUUUACCAAAUAGUUUUCUUUUACUCUGCCACUGGAAGAGUUGUUGUGAAAGACAAACAUUAGAAUUAAAGAUGUUUGCAGCUGGGUGCAGUGGCUCUUACCUGUAAUCCCAGCACUUUGAGAAGCCGAGGCAAGCGAAUCACUUGAGGUCAGGAGUUUGAGACCAUCCCAGCCAACAUGGUGAAACCCUAUCUCUACUAAAAACACAAAAAAUUAGCCUGGCGUGGUGGUGUGCGCAUGUAAUCUCACCUACUCAGGGGGGAUGAGGCAGGAUAAUUGCUUGAACCCGAGAGGCGGAGGUUGCAGUGAGCCAAGAUGGCACAAUUUGCCCUAAACCUACAUGCAGAAGAAUGAAAUUAGACCCUCAUCUCACACCGUAUACAAAAAUCAACUCAAAAUGAGUGAAAAAGCUUAAAUGUAAGACCUGAAGCUGUAAAACUACUAGAAGAAAACAGGGGGAAAGCUCCAUGACAUGGAUCUGAGCAAUGAUUUUUUGGACAUGACUUCAAAAUCACAGGCAAACAAAAGCAAAAAUUAAAACGUAUGAUUAUGUUAAAUCAAAAAGCUUCUGCACAGCCAAGGGAAUAAUAAAGAAACAAUCUAUGGAAUGGGAGAAUAUAUUUGCAAACCAUACAUCUGAUAAGGGGUUAAUGUACAAAAUAUAUAAGGAACUCGAACAACUCAAUGUUAAGAAAACAAGAACCUAAUUAAAAAGUAGGCAAAGAACCUGAAUAGACAUUUCUCAAAAGAAGACAUACAAAUGGACAACAGGUACGUGAAAAAAUGCUCAACAUCACUAAUCAUGAGGGAAAGGCAAAUUAAAACCAUAAUGAAAAACUACCUCACACUUGUUAGAACAGCUGUUAUAAAAAAGACAGAAGAUAACAAGUGUUGGAGAGAAUAUGGAGAAAAGAGAAAUCUUGUACACUCUCUGUGGAAUGAAAAUUAGUACAGCCGUUUCAGAAAACAGUAUGGAGAUUACACAAAAAAUUAAAAAUAGAACUAUCAUAUGAUCUAGCAAUCCCACUAUUGGGUAUACAGUCAAAGGAAAUGAAAUCAGUAUACUGAAGAGAUAUCUGCAUUCUCAUGUUUAUUGCAGCGUUAUUCAAAACUCGUGCAGGAAUGUUCACAGCAGUUUUAUUUGGAAUAGCCAAAACUGAAAACAAUCAUAAUGUCUCUUAAUAGUUGCAUGUUCCUUCCAUGGUUCUCACCAUUUGGGCACCCUUACCUAUAGGGAAGUGGAGUGGCUGAAACUACUCAGCAGGUGCUUCUGUGCACUGUUGACUGAGAAAGCUGAGGUCAAACCUGCUUCCCUGGGAAUUCCCUGCUACACUGGGAAUUCCACCAUGGCUGCAUCUUCCAUGAAGCAGAGGAAGAGGAGCGACUGAAGAAGAAAGAGGGUGGAGGUGAAGAUGUGGAGCUCAUAUUGAAUCUUUGGAAAAGUGAAAAUGGCUUUUAGUAUCCAGUAAGAAGAGUAAAUAGAAGAAUUUUAGCCACAAAUGGAAAAGAAAACGUCUCUUCCUCAGCUCAAAGAGACAAGCUCUUGUCAGUUCCUGUAAAAUUUAAUGCUGGUGGGCCUGGAAGCACAUUUCUCAGACACCCUAGCAAAUAGGAAUGACCAAGUAAUAUAAUUUUGCCAAUAAAAAUAUGCACAAUAUUUGGUGGAAAUUUCUCACAAAAUCUUGCUUUCCUCACAUAAAUGUUUCAUCUUCAUGCUUGUUGCUUUCUCUUUUUCCUUCCUAUUCAGAAAGGAGAUGGAUCAAUAAUUGUACAAGCAUGAAGACAAAUGCCAUAUCACAGCAAUGGUGAAAAGAAAGCCUAGAAGAAAUUUGUCUUCCCAACUUUUUUGGAACCCCUGAAUCAGAUUGACUGCCUCGAAAUAGACUUCUUUUUAAACACACAAAAAAAGUAAUCUCAUUUUUAACAGCCAUAAGAAUAUACCUUGUGGACCAUAAAUACUGUAAAAUUAUUUGACCAGGGCCCCUAGCUGUUCUAUUCCCAAGUGCUUUGUUGUGUUUUUGCUGUGGCUCAGUAUCCCAUGAACUGUUUCCAGCUAAUAACUGAGUGCAUAAGGGAUACUAAGACAGACAAAGUUUCUGGGAGACUAAGGACUCCUCCGACAGCUGAAUUUAGUGUCAGGCCUUCCUUGCUUAACUCAACUUACACUGCAAGGUGGCCUAGGUUGCUUCCAUCCAAACUUCUUCCCUCUAUCCUUGCACUGUGGUCUGAUGAUUCUCUCAGCUGACAUUUUCUCUGACAGGUAUUUCCCCUAAUAACACUUAAUUUUGUCUUGAUGUCUGGUUCUGGGAGGACCCAGCUUAGCACACUAUUUUUAUAAGACACUGCUAAUUUAUGCAGGACAAACUUUUUGCUGGGCAAAGACAAAAAAAU